rnacentral:rRNA from 1 species
AUUCCAGCUCCAAUAGCGUAUAUUAAAGUUGUUGUGGUUAAAAAGCUCGUAGUUGGAUCUCGGCGGUCUGAGGGCGGUUCGCUUCAGAGCGCUACUGCCCUAUAGACCGUAGUUUUGCCAGAGGUCUCAGGGUGCUCUUAACCGAGUGUCUUGCGAUGCUGGCAGGUUUACUUUGAAAAAAUUAGAGUGCUCAAAGCAGGCUUUUACGCCUGAAUAUUCGUGCAUGGAAUAAUAGAAUAGGAAGUCGUUUCUAUUUUGUUGGUUUCGAACACCGGAGUAAUGAUUAACAGGGACAGUCAGGGGCACUCGUAUUCCGCCGAGAGAGGUGAGAUUCUCAGACCAGCGGAAGACGAACCACUGCGAAAGCAUUUGCCAGGGAUGUUUUCAUUA